rnacentral:lncRNA from 1 species
UAGAGGUUGUCUUUGUCUACCUAAGGAAAAUAUCAAUAGAUUAAACCCCCAACCUUAAAGAAUCUCCGUGAAUUUUUCUGAGGAAACGUGCAAUAUUGUCAUACAAAAGGCCCCAAAUAUGCAAACAUUGCUUUUUGUUAAAAGUUUGUUUUGUUUUGCAGUGACAUCUGUUUGAGCAGAUGAAUAUGCCAUUGGGAAAGUCAAGGACUGUCGGAGAGGAGGACAUGGCAGACCUUAACUAAAGUGAGGGGGACAGUAGAGCACUAAAAGUUCUAGGAAAGGAGAUGAACUGCUUAUUCCAUCAGAUGAAAAUAUAGUCAGAACAGAUGAGUAGUAGAACUUAAACAUGCCCGGAGUUGCCAGGAAUUUGCAAAAGCCUUGAUAUAAUUCCUGUUGCUGUAGAAAGACUUUCUACAGUCACUAAUAUAUCAAGUUAUGUUCACUAGAAAAAAAGUUUACUUAGUUUAUAGAAAUGGGCUGAAAAAUCCUAAUUACUUAUCUGUGAGGUUAUUUUCAUGAAGGUUAAUCAUCCAGAAACUAUUAGAGAGCCUCGGAAUAUAUUUCUUCUAAUCUGCUCUACCUAUCCCAUUCAAAGGAGGGAAUCUGAAGAUUUAAGGACAAAGAGCAGUUGAAAACUCAGAGCUGUGGUUAAUGGGAGAAUUUCAAGGAUGGUGAAAAAAACUAACAUCAUUGCAUCCCUGUUUUUUGUAUUCUGGACUUUUUAGUUUAGCUCUUGGUAAACUACAUCAGAAAUUCUUUAUGCUAACUCUAACACACAUUUUGGGGUAUUGCUAAUUUAAUCUUUGAAUACUGUUUUUGCUGUUUCAUGAUUAUAUGUUAUGUCCUACCAGCUAGAUUGCCAACUCUUGACUACUGACUGGAAGUUUAUUGUUUAUUCAGCAAAUAAUGAAUUAAGUCAGUGAAGUGAGAGAUUUCGUGUGUAAGGAUUGUUAACUUGAACAUUUCACCAGUUACACACAGUUCAGCCCUACUUAAAUUUUAAAAAUCAUUGUUGGCACUUGACAUUGUUAUGAGGAGUUUUGUAUUUUCAACUUGUAUUUUGAGAGUGUCCUCAUGUGACUGAAGUAUGUGCUACUCUUCUUAAUUGAAUAACCCCAGAAUCUCCAGAAUUGAUAAUUGGAGGAAAUUCUACUGUUGGAAAGAAUGGAUGGAUUAUACAGCCCUGUUUUUUGACUGUUCAUUUUGUCCUUGGAGUCACUACCACUUGGCCUCAAAGUGUGAACAUGUAACCCUUUCCUUAAUACUUUGCUACACAGCUGAGCAGAAACUGUAAAUUUGGAUCCUUUGUCAGUACAACUUAAAAUGGAACAAUUUCAAUGGCUUAGGGUAAGAUAAGUAUGUAAAGAUACUUUUGUAAUAGAAGAAAAAACAUUGGAUAUUAA